GACGAACGCUGGCGGCGUGCUUAACACAUGCAAGUCGAACGGAAAGGCCCUGCUUUUGUGGGGUGCUCGAGUGGCGAACGGGUGAGUAACACGUGAGUAACCUGCCCUUGACUUUGGGAUAACUUCAGGAAACUGGGGCUAAUGCCGGAUAGGAGCUCCUGCUGCAGGGUGGGGGUUGGAAAGUUUCGGCGGUUGGGGAUGGACUCGCGGCUUAUCAGCUUGUUGGUGGGGUAGUGGCUUACCAAGGCUUUGACGGGUAGCCGGCCUGAGAGGGUGACCGGCCACAUUGGGACUGAGAUACGGCCCAGACUCCUACGGGAGGCAGCAGUGGGGAAUAUUGCACAAUGGGCGGAAGCCUGAUGCAGCAACGCCGCGUGCGGGAUGACGGCCUUCGGGUUGUAAACCGCUUUCGCCUGUGACGAAGCGUGAGUGACGGUAAUGGGUAAAGAAGCACCGGCUAACUACGUG
rnacentral:rRNA from 1 species